AUUAGGGAUUGUUAAGGGCCAUGUCUGGUAUGGGAUGGCAAGAGAAUAGAUUCCUCAAUUUAAAGAAUUAUAUUUUCAAUAUAUUUUUGAAAUAUUCAAAUUAAGCUUGAUAAUUCUUUUAAGAAAUCAUACAUAAUUAUAUAAAUGAAUAUUAAUUUUUAUUUAGAAUUUAGAAUAACUAAACGUACACAUAUGUUAUUAAGUUUCUUAAGUAUCGAAUCAAACCAAUCUAUUUAAUAAUUAUAAUUACUGUAAAUUAUUAAAAAUAAUUUAAAUAUGUAAUAUUUAGCCAUAAAACAUAUAUUUGAAAUUAAAUUAAAAACAAAAAUUUAGAAAAGAAAAUCAUAUAUUAAAAAUAAUUUUUCAUAAAUAUAAAAAGAAUGGAAACAUAAAGGACAUAAAAUCUAAAUAAUUCCCAAUUUAUAUAUUAGUGAUAAUAUCAAAUAUAUAUUAAGGGUUUAAAAAUCACUCCAUUAAAAAAAUAAUUAAAAAGUCAAUAACUUAAUACUUUGACUUACCAUUUUAAGUGCUUUUGACUUAAUUAAAAUUUGUAAGUAGAGUAUAUAUCAUGUUAUCAUACCAUCUUAAAAGAUAAUAAGUGAUAAAAACUUUAAUUCUGAACUACAAACACCCUUUUAUUUCAUAAUCUUGGUCUUCAAUUUGAAUUUUAUUUAUUAUUUAAAAUUUGAUCUUUAUAAUGAAUGACAUAUAUGAAAAUUAUAUAUUUAUUAGUUUAAACAGCAGUGUUUAUGGAAUUAGAUGCUUUUUGUGUGGGGUGCAAAAAGCCAAGCUAGCUCUAAAGUAUAACCAUAUAGAAUUUGGAACUUUAUUGGAGUUGGGGGAUGUAGAUUUUUAAGGCCUUGGGAAGAGUGAG
rnacentral:lncRNA from 1 species